rnacentral:lncRNA from 1 species
CUAUAAAUACUUAAAAUGCAACAAAAUCGAUUUAUCGGCCUAUAAAUACUUAAAAUGCAACAAAAUCGCUAAAAAAAGGAGAGUAACAUUUAACAAUACCCCAAAAUCACACUAAGAAAGUUCUUUAAAAGAGAUCCGAAAGCUAGCAUUUUAUCAGAUGCGAGAUCAUAGGUCAAGUGAAGCCUAAAACCAAACAGUGUGUUCGUGAGAAUAAUGCGAAAGAGAAUCAUCGCUUCUUGGAGACACCAACAGUCUUUCCCCUACGGCCAGUGGUCUUCGUGUGCUGUCCACGCACUCGAAGACCCCAGUAGUGACGGAGACCACGGUGGUUCCUACAAUUGUCUCACAAAACCCAAGUAAAUAUAGGCAAGCAAGAGAAACAGAUCAAAAUAGCAAAGCAN